rnacentral:rRNA from 1 species
ACUCAAAUGAAUAGACGGGGACCCGCACAAGCAGCGGAGCGUGUGGUUUAAUUCGAUGCAACGCGAAGAACCUUACCAGGGUUUGACAUGUGAUCGCACCAUCCGUAAUGGGAUGUGCCCGCAAGGGACGAUCGCACAGGUGCUGCAUGGCUGUCGUCAGCUCGUGUCGUGAGAUGUUGGGUUCAGUCCCGCAACGAGCGCAACCCCUAUCGUUGGUUAUAGGUGUCCAGCGAGACUGCUCUUUUAAGAGAGAGGAAGGCGGGGAUGACGUCAAGUCAGCACGGCCCUUACACCCUGGGCGACACACACGCUACAAUGGCCGGUACAACGGGAUGCGAACCCGCGAGGGGGAGCCAAUCCUCACAAAACCGGUCUCAGUUCGGAUUGUAGGCUGCAACCCGCCUACAUGAAGUUGGAGUUGCUAGUAACCGUGGGUCAGCACACCACGGUGAAUACGUUCCCGGGUCUUGCACACACCGCCCGU